UGGGGAAUUUUGGACAAUGGGCGCAAGCCUGAUCCAGCAAUGCCGCGUGCAGGAAGAAGGCCUUCGGGUUGUAAACUGCUUUUGUACGGAACGAAACGGUCUGGGUUAAUACCCUGGGCUAAUGACGGUACCGUAAGAAUAAGCACCGGCUAACUACGUGCCAGCAGCCGCGGUAAUACGUAGGGUGCAAGCGUUAAUCGGAAUUACUGGGCGUAAAGCGUGCGCAGGCGGUUUUGUAAGACAGGCGUGAAAUCCCCGGGCUCAACCUGGGAAUGGCGCUUGUGACUGCAAAGCUGGAGUGCGGCAGAGGGGGAUGGAAUUCCGCGUGUAGCAGUGAAAUGCGUAGAUAUGCGGAGGAACACCGAUGGCGAAGGCAAUCCCCUGGGCCUGCACUGACGCUCAUGCACGAAAGCGUGGGGAGCAAACAGGAUUAGAUACCCUGGUAGUCCACGCCCUAAACGAUGUCAACUGGUUGUUGGGUCUCUUCUGACUCAGUAACGAAGCUAACGCGUGAAGUUGACCGCCUGGGGAGUACGGCCGCAAGGUUG
rnacentral:rRNA from 1 species